AAAAUAGGUACCUUUUAAUUGGAGCAAAAGCAAAGUGUGGACUAGAUGACAUCCUAGGACUCUCUAGGGGACUGCCUACGAUCGGGACGAAUGCUAUAUCAGGAAACAAGCAGUAGAAAAAUUAAUCUGCUAUUAUCGAUAAAUAAUCAGAAUAGCAGCCUUAAAAAUAAUUGAAAGUAAUCGCACAGGCAAAAUAAAAGUUACAUACCUGACAAAGGUGAAUGGCAACGUGGUAAAGUAGGUGAUGUAGUGGCAAUGAAGGAUUUACGAUGAACCGCUUUGGCGGUACGACGAGGAAUGUUAAAAUCACGCUGGAAAAGAAUGACAGUGCAUUAUUAACAAAUACAAAAGUGAGCUACCACAAUGUGCACAAUUGAUCAAGAUAUACUGACCACAUGAACAGAUAAAGAAGGAGCUGAUUUUCCAAUUGCAGAAUUUCUCAUACGAACUAGAUUUGAUAACUCUCCACUCACUAAAAGCAUACAUAAUCAUUGUGUGACAUUUCGUACAUAUAAUCAAGCAAUGUUUAUAAUCAACAGAAUGUUUGAUAAAGAUAUAAAAUAUAUGAUACAAAUCAGAGAGAAAUUUUAUUAACCAGGUCGAACUGGAGCCUCCUUGCUCUCCAUUUUGGGCAGGUUUGGAUGUUUAUGUGUUUCGGUCUCCACAUUGCAGGCAGUCUCUUCAGUUUCGUUUUCAAACACGAGCACUCUAGCAGAGUUGCCGUGUGAACGUAGUCGUGGCCUACUCGGCCUGUUUCUUGACUGAUCCAUUAUCUCAGUUACUGCGUCUUUAUUCGGAUCCUCAGUAAGGAAGGAGGAACUCAAACGAAUACAGGACACCACCUAGUGCGAUCACGAGACUUUUGAUUUCCGACUCUCCUACGCUUUCAGCACAUCCAACACAAUCUCUUCCCAUCAUCGUCACGGAGUCCCACUGGUAUCAACAUUCUCUGGCUCACUCGGCGAAGAUGCAUCACGUUCCAGAACUGUCGAAGGUACAUGCGGAAGAGCGCGACGACUCGAAUGAGCGCGCCGACGAAGCGAUCGAAGCAAGCCGAAUAGCCGCGGGAGUCCCACGGAAACGUGUGACAGAUCCCACGAACAAGGAGUGUACAAAGAUCGGUGGGACGAGAUGAGAUGAAACGAGACGAGACGAAACGUGACGGGCGAGGUAAGAUGAAUCAAGGAAGAGGCACGCACGACACUAAGUGUACGCAGCAGCAGCGGUGGCAACGACGGCGACCACGACCACGACGACGAUGAUGAUCGAAGGGAUGCGAUUACCGGUCGCCAGAGCCAUCUUCCUAGCAGGAUCAGGAGCGUCCCCGGGAUGCGAGCGAACUCGUCGUGUACUCCUUGAGAGCUACAGCGACAUUUUCCCGUCGUCGGCGCGAGGCGGAUUAAUUAUGAGACACAACGAGGUGACCAUGGGUUCCGUGACUCAUGACGGACGUAUACACGCACGCACGUACACACAGCCGCGUCGCGCGUAUACACAAUAUACGCGUUACCUAUGCGCGACCUCCCCGACCGACAGUAGCGUAUGCAUGCGCGCGCACGCACACAACCGCAAGCACACACUCACGAGUCCGCGAAUGGAAAAGCGAGCACGCCGCACGCCCGCCAUUCGCCAGUUCGGCGAGCCCUUACCUUAUAGUGUGGGACCGACGGUUUAGUAUAUGUGUGUGCGUGAUGUAGGUGUGGGUGUGCGUCUCGCGAGCGUGUGUAAUAGCGUCAAUGAGAUCCCUCGACGCUACGCCAUUUUACACCUUUCGGAAGUCUCUCGGGGGAUCCACGAGAGACGCCUGUUCUCUCCUCAUUUGCACUACAUUACACCCCUCGCACUUGGGAUUAAGUAAAUAUAUAACGGGAGAAAGAGAGAAGAAGGUAAAAGUUUUGCGGGGAAACGCAAAGAAAGAGCGGGCUGAGAUAACGACCGUGUGAGAGUAUCGACCCCGUCUCGUGGGGAAGGAGGAAGGGAGAGAGAGAGAGAGAGAUGGAGAAAGGAAAUGUGUUCGCACGAAUUAAUUUGAAUUAGCUUGUUCAUUUCGAUACAUCCUGCACGCUGACUGAAGGGACCAUGGUCAAGGAUCUUUGAUUAUUUGUAAUAAUAAUAGAAAUUGUAAUAAAAACUUUUCCACUUACAA